rnacentral:tRNA from 1 species
AGGGAGACCCGAACCCAACUUGAUUGAACCAAUUUGGAUUAAAUCAAGCUUGAGGUCAUCCCAAGGUCGGUCGGAAUCGGUGCGUUUGGCUUUCAAACUAUUUGGUUCGAGGAAUGGGCUAUUAGCUCAGGUGGUUAGAGCGCACCCCUGAUAAGGGUGAGGUCCCUGGUUCGAGUCCAGGAUGGCCCACCUUAACAGGAGCGAUGAGUGUCGGAGGUAGAUUCGAGAUUCAAGACUCUUGGGAUAUGGGGGUUUAGCUCAGUUGGUAGAGCGCCUGCUUUGCAAGCAGGAUGUCAGCAGUUCGAGUCUGCUAACCUCCACUGGGUAGGAAGCCCAAGCGCGAUUAAUCGAGUGAAUGAAGUUUGCAUGAUGUGAAUGGAUUUGCUAGUAUGGUUAAUUGUGCGUGAGAUAGCGAUUUCAGCAACUAAUCUUGAGGCAUCGUCAGAUGG